rnacentral:rRNA from 1 species
UACAGAGGUCCCGAGCGUUGUUCGGAUUCAUUGGGCGUAAAGGGUGCGUAGGCGGCGGGGCAAGUCUGAUGUGAAAUCCCGGGGCUCAACCCCGGAACUGCAUUGGAUACUGCUUUGCUAGAGUACUGGAGAGGAGACUGGAAUUUACGGUGUAGCAGUGAAAUGCGUAGAGAUCGUAAGGAAGGCCAGUGGCGAAGGCGAGUCUCUGGACAGUAACUGACGCUGAGGCACGAAGGCCAGGGGAGCAAACGGG